GCAGUUCAAAGACAUGUAUGUCCUCUUCUUUAAAGACAAUCUUUGGUAAUACCUAUGUUUAUUUGUUAAUUAUUUUGGGACACAAUCUACCAAGUUUUUGGUCUCUUAACACCUUCAAUCUCUCCACAUCCCAAAAGCAUGGUAGUUAUGAUUUUUGAUUGAUAUCAGAGAAAGUUGAUUGAAAAAGCAAUUUCUCUUGCUUCUCUUGGAAGUUAUUCAGUCAUGAUAAUACAAAAAAUAUUGUGAGGCAGGAAAGUGACAGGAUCACAUGACCAAACUAACAUUGAUAUAAAAAUGUGUGAAACAAAGCAAUUGCCAAGACUCUGCUCAACAUGGCGUGCCUCUAAAUUCAAUUUCCCACAAUUCUAAGCUCCCUGUUAGGUUUGGAUCUGCAUAAUAGCAAGAAUUCAUUUUUUGCAAUUAUGCAAACUCGUUAGACGAAGAGUUGUGUCGUUAAGCGACGACUAAGGUAAAGAUCUCCUAACUUGGUGGUCGUUGGAUGAGUGUAUUUUUGUUGAGUGACUCCAAAGUUAGAGAACUCGCUGACUUCGUAGUCGGUGAGCGUGUUUAAGAUCGUUAAACAAGGCUUCUAAUUGUUGAGCAAGUAUGACUUUUGACACUACUCAUUGGGUGAGUGGAUGAUCUCGUUGAGGGAGACUAACAAAGUUGUUCAAUCAUUUUCAUGUUCAAUGAUUUUUGUGUAUGUGAGAUGUGUGAGGAUUGCUUAUAGUAUAUAAAUGUAUGGAUGAUAAUAUGCAUGUUUAGAAUAUGAUGAGAUGUGAACUGUGAGGAUGAUAGGAUUUUCAAGAGAAAAUCCUUCUGAAGUGUGUUUCUUAAGAUGUACAUUAAAGUAAGGACUUAUAUAAGAUGUUAUUCUGUUAUUCUACUGGUCAUUCACAAUUCUAAAACUUCCUUGUAGUUCAACCUUAAUGUGCUUAACUGGAUGAUUGAGUUUCUUUUAUGUGAAUUGGGUUUAAAGACUAUAUAAUUGUCUUACUAGCUUGCAAUGUUGUUUG